rnacentral:rRNA from 1 species
GACGAACGCUGGCGGCGUGCUUAACACAUGCAAGUCGAACGGAGAGACAUGGAAGCUUGCUUCUAUGAAUCUUAGUGGCGAACGGGUGAGUAACGCGUAAUCAACCUGCCCUUAGAGGGGGAUAACAACGGGAAACCGUUGCUAAUACCGCGUACGAUAUGCUUUCGGCAUCGAGAGCAUAUGAAAGGUGGCCUCUAUAUAUAAGCUAUCGCUGAAGGAGGGGAUUGCGUCUGAUUAGCUAGUUGGAGGGGUAACGGCCCACCAAGGCAAUGAUCAGUAGCCGGUCUGAGAGGAUGAACGGCCACAUUGGGACUGAGACACGGCCCAA